AAGAACAUGGAACUCCAGACAAGAGCUUCUAACUCAUGGUCUAUUAAAUUAUAAUAUGUUCUUU
rnacentral:tRNA from 1 species